UACAGAGGGGGCAAGCGUUAUUCGGAAUUAUUGGGCGUAAAGGGCGCGUAGGCGGCUUUGCAAGUGACGGGUGAAAUCCCUCGGCUUAACCGAGGAACUGCCUGUCAAACUGCAUGGCUUGAGACCGGGAGAGGUGAGUGGAAUUCCCAGUGUAGCGGUGAAAUGCGUAGAUAUUGGGAGGAACACCAGUGGCGAAGGCGACUUCCUGGCCUGUUCUUGACGCUGAGGCGCGAAAGCUGGGGGAGCAAACGGG
rnacentral:rRNA from 1 species